CGUCACCCUUACGCGCCUGGGCUGAACGCAGACCCGGAUGGCGUCGCCCCUACACGCCUGGGCCGAACGGCAUAGGCCUCCUGCUCCCAGGCUGCACCUGCACAGCGUGUGACUGCACUGAAGACUGUAGAAAACUGUAACACAGGUCACCAUGAAUGGAACUUGCAGAACCCGAAGCUGCUCUGGGUGACCGGGUUGAAGAUAUUUCUGAGUGGAAGAAAACUGUGAUAGAAAAGAAUACUUAAAAUGAUUAAUUUUUCUUCAAGAAAGUAUGAAAGGAUGAUAUUUUCAGGUGCAUAUCUGAAAAUUAAGCAGAAGGCCGUGUAUGAUGAAGGACAGAAAAACCCUGCUUUUCUGCCUCAGUGUGAAGCAUGCACUGAAUAUCCUCUAUGUGUAAAUGGAAAGCACUGGGAUUGAAGCUGGGGAGUAGAGGUAUGGAAGCCACAGCAAUGAACAAGACACAAUCCUGGACCCCAUGAGCUCACAGUGAGUGACAGCAGCCACUACAGUGUUAACGAAAGUUUAAUUCGGAGGCCAAUGGGCUGGGAUGGCCCCAGCACUUUUAGUUCCUAGGAACAACUUAUGAAAUUUUCUGUCUCACCUCUGAAGCCCUAGAGAAGUGCUACACUGCUUGCAGUCUGGUGCUGCCCAAUUUAUGAAC
rnacentral:lncRNA from 10 species